rnacentral:rRNA from 1 species
GAUGAACGCUGGCGGCCUGUCUAACACAUGCAAGUCGAACGAGGCAAAUAAGUUGAAGUUUUCGGAUGGAUUCUUAUUUACCGAGUGGCGGACGGGUGAGUAACGCGUGGGUAACCUGCCUCAUACAGGGGGAUAACGGUUAGAAAUGACUGCUAAUACCGCAUAAGCGCACAGUACCGCAUGGUACGGUGUGAAAAACUCCGGUGGUAUGAGAUGGACCCGCGUCUGAUUAGCUAGUUGGUGAGGUAACGGCCCACCAAGGCGACGAUCAGUAGCCGACCUGAGAGGGUGACCGGCCACAUUGGGACUGAGACACGGCCCAGACUCCUACGGGAGGCAGCAGUGGGGGAUAUUGCACAAUGGAGGAAACUCUGAUGCAGCGACGCCGCGUGAGUGAAGAAGUAUUUCGGUAUGUAAAGCUCUAUCAGCAGGGAAGAAAAUGACGGUACCUGACUAAGAAGCCCCGGCUAACUACGUGCCAGCAGCCGCGGUAAUACGUAGGGGGCAAGCGUUAUCCGGAUUUACUGGGUGUAAAGGGAGCGUAGACGGCGACGCAAGUCUGAAGUGAAAUACCCGGGCUCAACCUGGGAACUGCUUUGGAAACUGGGCUGCUAGAGGGCNGGAGAGGUAAGCGGAAUUCCUAGGGCAGCGGCGAAAUGCGUAGAUAUUAGGAAGAACACCAGUGGCGAAGGCGGCUUACUGGACAGUAACUGACGUUGAG